GUCAUCCAAAAAACAAAGAGUAAUCCGAGCCGGCUAUGUGUUUCAACCGCAUACCUUUUUAUAAGGAAUUCUCUUACGAGAGAAACGAACCAAGCGAGUCGUCCGGGGUUUUAACACUUUGAUGCCUCGUUUUGGGAUAAUUUUUAAGUCUUAGUGUUUAGGAACUGUUGUCCGUGAAUUUACACUUCUUGAGUCACCUCAAUAGGCGUACCGCGAAAGACACAAUAUGCAGAGCACAAUAUCGCUAAUGUGCUGGAGAAGCGCACAGUGGGGACGUCUUACAUUUCUGUAACACAAAGGGUUCCCAUCAAAGGGAGAUCACGGACACACAAGCACCGAUGCUUGUUUACAUUUCAAACGUGCGAUGUGGCGGUGUGCGGGAUUAAAGGCCAAGCCCGCUA